rnacentral:rRNA from 1 species
UACAGAGGUCUCGAGCGUUGUUCGGAUUCAUUGGGCGUAAAGGGUGCGUAGGCGGCGAGCUAAGUUUGGUGUGAAAUCCUGGGGCUUAACCUCAGAAAUGCACUGAAUACUGGUUUGCUAGAGGACUGGAGAGGAGAUUGGAAUUCACGGUGUAGCAGUGAAAUGCGUAGAUAUCGUGAGGAAGACCAGUGGCGAAAGCGAAUCUCUGGACAGUUCCUGACGCUGAUGCACGAAGGCUAGGGGAGCAAACGGG